GAUGAACGCUGGCGGCGUGCCUAAUACAUGCAAGUCGAGCGAACGGACGAGAAGCUUGCUUCUCUGAUGUUAGCGGCGGACGGGUGAGUAACACGUGGAUAACCUACCUAUAAGACUGGGAUAACUUCGGGAAACCGGAGCUAAUACCGGAUAAUAUUUUGAACCGCAUGGUUCAAAAGUGAAAGACGGUCUUGCUGUCACUUAUAGAUGGAUCCGCGCUGCAUUAGCUAGUUGGUAAGGUAACGGCUUACCAAGGCAACGAUGCAUAGCCGACCUGAGAGGGUGAUCGGCCACACUGGAACUGAGACACGGUCCAGACUCCUACGGGAGGCAGCAGUAGGGAAUCUUCCGCAAUGGGCGAAAGCCUGACGGAGCAGCGCCGCGUGAGUGAUGAAGGUCUUCGGAUCGUAAAACUCUGUUAUUAGGGAAGAACAUAUGUGUAAGUAACUGUGCACAUCUUGACGGUACCUAAUCAGAAAGCCACGGCUAACUACGUG
rnacentral:rRNA from 1 species